GCAGCCGCCGCGGUAAUACGGAGGGUGCAAGCGUUAAUCGGAAUUACUGGGCGUAAAGCGCACGCAGGCGGUCUGUCAAGUCAGAUGUGAAAUCCCCGGGCUUAACCUGGGAACUGCAUUUGAAACUGGCAGGCUAGAGUCUUGUAGAGGGGGGUAGAAUUCCAGGUGUAGCGGUGAAAUGCGUAGAGAUCUGGAGGAAUACCGGUGGCGAAGGCGGCCCCCUGGACAAAGACUGACGCUCAGGUGCGAAAGCGUGGGGAGCAAACAGGAUUAGAUACCCGAGUAGUCCCUGUCUCUUAUAC
rnacentral:rRNA from 1 species